CGAGGCGAUCGGACGGUCGCGUGCCACGUCGGGGAAACCCGUGGCGGCACGAGGAAAGUCCGAGCUCCACGACGCAGGGUAGCGGGUAACACCCGUCCGCCGCGAGGCGAGGACCAGCGCCACAGAGACGAGCCGGCUCCCCGGUCCGCCGGGGCGCCGGGUGAAACGGGCAAGCUCUACCCGGUGCAAGGCCGAAUAGGAGGGCGCGAUCACGGCUUCGGCCGCGGUCACGGGUGCGUCGCCCGGGCCCUCGGGUAGGCCGCUAGAGGCGGCGGGCGACCGCCGUCGUAGAUGGAUGACCGUCGCCGCGAUCGCGAGGUCGCGGGACAGAACUCGGCUUACAGGUCGCGCUCGCUGG
rnacentral:RNase_P_RNA from 2 species